rnacentral:snRNA from 1 species
GUGCUCGCUUCGGCAGCACAUAUACUAAAAUUGGAAGGAUACAGAGAAGAUUAGUAUGGCCCCUGCACAAGGAUGACAUGCAAAUUCGUGAAGCGUUCCAUAUUUAA